GGGAUGGGCCUGCGUCCUAUCAGGUAGUUGGUGAGGUAAGUGCUCACCAAGCCUAUGACGAGUAGCUGGUCUGAGAGGAUGGUCAGCCAGACUGGGACUGCGACACGGCCCAGACUCCUACGGGAGGCAGCAACUAGGAAUUGUGCGCAAUGGACGAAAGUCUGACGCCGCGACAUCGCGUGGAGGAUGAAGGUCUUCGGAUUGUAAACUCCUUUUCUUACCGAACAAGUUCUGAGUGUAGGUAAGGAAUAAGUGCCUGCUAACCACGUGCCAGAAGCAUCGGUAAUACGUGGGGCACGAGCGUUAUCCGGAUUUACUGGGCGUAAAGAGAAGCGUAGGCGGCUCGAUAAGUUUGGUGUUAAAUCUUCCGGCUCAACCGGAAACAAGUACCGAAAACUAUCGAGAUUGAGUCGAGUAGGGAAGAGGGGAAUUCCUGGUGGAGCGGUUAAAUGCGUAGAUAUCAGGAGGAAUACCAAGGGCGAAGGCACCUCUUUGGACUCGUACUGACGCUGAGGCUCGAAAGCGUGGGUAGCAAAACGGAUUAGAUACCCGUGUAGUCCACGCCGUAAACGAUCCCUGUUAGAUGUAUG
rnacentral:rRNA from 1 species